rnacentral:lncRNA from 1 species
GGUUGGAGAAGGCCCUGUAACUAACUAGGCUGUGAAACCCCAGCUGCGCCAUACCCAGCUGGGUGGCUGGUCCACCAGGCUCUGGCCUAUUAGACAGUUUUCUGCCAUCACUCUCUGAGCACACUGGAGGGCUCAGAAUGUGCACUGCGGGCUCUUGGCUUCAUAGGUCAGUUGUGGUUUGCUGCAGCUCCCCCAGGUAAGCUGAUCUAGAAUUGUCCCUCCUCACAGUAUUGACAUCAUCACCAGGUUGUACACUGAGCAGAACUGAAGCAAACCAGGAGCAUCCUGGUCAUAGACGUGGACCCUGCCAGGCUCAGCCAGGCCCGCUGUGCAGUCUGGGAAGUAGGGGUGAGUGUUCUUUGGAGUUGGGUCUUUAUACUGAGUUUGAGAGGCCAUCUAGGUCUGGCCAACAAAAGCUGUAGAUGUCUGGGUCACAUAGAGUUUGAAUGGGGAACAGUAGGAACAGGGCUGAUCUGUAGAGAGGCCUCGGUUGUCUGAUGGGGGUCAGAUAAAAAUAAACAAAAAACAAACAAAAAAACCAAAAAAAAAAAAAAAACUCAGAAGGGAAGUGUACUAGACAGAAUUCCAGUGUGAGCUGUAACCAGGGAGCUGUGAGCCUACUGUCUGCCACUUCACACAGCUUGUCUUAUGGUGACAGACUGGGAGGACAGAUAAUGGGCGUGCAGCUGUGGGGCACUCUGAAGAGAGCUCACAGGACUGUCAGCCCGAUCCCAUUGGAAGUACAUGCAGAAGGCAGAACCUUGGAUUCUGGCACAUCCUGAGUGUAUUCAGUCUAAAGCAGAAGUGUCCAGCCUUUGAGCUCCAUGGUAAGUAUUGUCAUCUACAGAGUUCUCACUAGAGAACUGCACAAUCGAGUUAUCAAAGAAGAAAAUUGCAAAAAGGUUUUUGUGAUGUGUUAGGCUUAUGAGUUCUAUAUUGGGCUGCAUCCUUAGCUGUCAGUACAAUCCCUCCGGUCCCGGAAUGCCAUGUGAGGUUGGGGGUGGGGAUCAACCCAGUCCCUCGGACGUGCUAAGUGCAUGCUCGACCACUAAGAUAAGCCUAGUACCCAGUGUCUGACCACCUUAGCAAUGCAGCAAUGCAGCAGGAAUAAGUUAGGGGAAUGUGGUCAGGUGAGUGUCUCACAGUUGGGGGAAUAAAUAGCUCACAGCCUGAGGUUUCAAAAUCGUUAAUGUUCGACCCAGUGCCAGAGCUAUGUUUAAGUUAAACUCGUAUGGCAUAAAUGUGGUUCUUACCAAAGGGGAAUCUUCUCACUGCCUGAUGAGUGGGGCUGGCUGCCAGAAACUGCCUGAGGAAAAACUGUUCACUGCAUUCAUGUGAAAUGUGGACCAACCAUGUACUGACUGAAAUAUCGAGCUAUUGAGCAAUGGUCUAAGUCAACCGAUAUAGAUAACCAUCUCAUGAUGUUCUGAGGAUGCUAAGUUGCCUUUAUGUAAGAGCCAGGUAUGUGACAGAGGGGACAGAGGAGCCCCUUCCCUGAUGGCUUGUGCCAGAAGCGUGCAACACACUGAGCAGUCAGUUGAGCAGUUGUGUUGGGUGCUGGGGAGAGGGUCUAUCUCUGAACAGGGCUUCUUGGCUUGAAUUCUUCAUCUCACUGGUUUUAUUUCAAGUCUCACCUCUGCUUCUUGUCAUUAUUGUUUGUUUCCAUUAUUAUUUGUAUGCACAGACUGGCCUCAGCUCAGCAAUCCUCCUGCUGUGGCCUCCUGCUCAUCAGGACUACAAGCGUGAGCCAUAUUGGCUUCCCCUGUUUUUCCAAGUGCUGUGAACCCAUUGCUGGGUGGAGUUCCCACACUGUUCUGCUGCAGGGAUUUUCCAGAUUUGCAGUUUGAUUCAGUUGGCUCCAAUGAAUUGGUUGGAGGAAUUUUUCCUUCGAUGUUGCUAAGCAACUUCGUGUAACCUGUGGAUCAAUGGCCUCUGGUGGCAUGAUGCUUUGCAAGGCUGCACUCCCCUCAAUGCCACGCUUCUUUUGCUAUAUUAGUUAUAUAUUUCUAUGUGUUUUGCCUGUGUGUGUAUGUGUGUGUGUUUGUGCACAUUGUGCAUGCAGUGCCCUCAGAGGCCAGAAGAGGGUGUCAGUUACAGACAGUUGUAAGGUACCAUGUGCAUGUCAGGAGUCAAAACUGGGUCCUCCUAGAGCAACCAGUGCUCUU